AUGGAGGUUUCCUCUCUGUCACUCCGCCACGGAGUCAGGUGUAUGCCUGACGCCGGUGCUACGGUCGAGGAUGUGCUCGUGGCGAUUGGAGAACAAAUAGGAUUUGAAAAUAUUGUAUCCGCAUCCAAAAUGAACAAGGCCGUGGUGGUUUUUCUGAAGGAUCAAAGUUUUGUUAGUAAACUCAUCGUGAGCGGCAUUUGGGUAAGUGGAGCAUUUGUUAUUGUUUCUCCGUUGGUAUCGCAGUCGACAAGGGUAAACAUUUCCAAUUGUCCACCAUACAUACCUAAUGCAUGCAUUGAAAAUGAAUUGCAGAGGUUUGGGAAAAUAGUAAGUGGAAUGACAUUAAUUUCACUCGGGUGUAAAAAUGAAGCCCUAAAACACGUGUUGUCUUUUAGGCGGCAGUUGUUUAUGGUUUUAGAAUCACCGACGCUAGAUAUCUCGUUUCGGGUUAAACAUGAAGAUAAAUCAUAUAUGAUCUAUGCGAGUACCAAUCAUUUGAAAUGCUUUGAGUGCGGGAAUUUUGGGCAUAAAAAAAUGGAAUGCCCGCGUAAAACACAAACAGAAGAAAAUAGCAACAACACAAAUGAAGAUGAACAUGCGGUCGUUGAUGAAGCAGUGAAUGCAGAGAAAAGUAAAGAAAUAGAGUUAGAAAAUGGAACUGACAAGGAGCAGAGUGCAAAUAAUAAACGAAGUACGCACGAACAAAGUGAAUCUACUGAAGAUGUAGGUCAGAAGGAAUCGAAUGAAAAGAAAUCAGGGAAAAAACAGGGAAAAGGAAUAAUUGUGAUGGAGAAAAAAGGAUGAAUUGUGAAGAGGCAGGAACUAGUGAGGUGAAAAAAUCUCAUGUUGAGAGUCCUGAUAAUAUUGAUGUAGACACUUUUGAGAAUCAAAUUGAUAAUAUAUCUCUGUCUCAGUUCUCUGAAAUCACUGAUGUGACUGAAGAGAUGGCUGAUGAUGAUUGUCUUUCUGAAAUNCAUGCUAAAACACAGAAUUUGGUAACAAUAAUAAUAAUAAUAAUAGUAAUAAUCAUUAAAAAGAAAAAUGGUGAGAAAAAAUAAAACAUUUCAUAGGGCCCUAAACA
ensembl:lncRNA